UGAGAAACUGCUGCCCCACGUGAUUACCUGUAUGAAGCAGCCCCUGAGCUUGCAGAAGGGCUGGAGACUGGACCCUCUUUACAAUGAGGUGACAGACAAAAGUAAACCUCUGGGUGCCCUACUUAGUUUACUUCCUAAAGGGCUCCUUUACUUUCCAAGACUAAAGAAACCCACCUCCAUGCCCACACCACUCCCUCCCCACUGAACAAAUGUCUAUGCACCCUUCGAAGAAGAAACAGGGGUCACAGCACUGAGGAGGUUAUUACAUUCUACAAUCUCACCAUCCCCUUCUGGACUGAAGGAUGGGAUAUGGCCUAUGAGAUACAACAGGCACUUGCUUAACUAAGCCGUGACCACGUCACCCGUCCAGAUCCCAGCUCACAUUUACUGCACGGAAAUCAACGGAUUCCUUCAGCUUCCAGCAGGGCAAACUUCUUCCAGAGACAAACGGGAACGUCCAAGAGAAACAAUUGUUCUGCCAAGUAACAAGACAGGGAUGCAACGGAGAAGCCUCGGUUUUUCCUCAAACAUUCUGCAUUCUCUUGAGUAUGUAUAGCUGGAAGCCCACAGAGGCGAGAAGGAAGCUGGCAUGGUGGCAGACGCCUGUAAUAGCAGCACUCAGGAGUCCGAGGCUGGGGGCGGGGUAGCUUUGAGGAAAGGUUGGUCUACAUAGGGAGAUCCUGUCACACAACAACGUGGCAAAAUAAAGCAACGCUAAGUUACG